GCGGGUGUGGCGAAAUUGGUAGACGCACCAGAUUUAGGUUCUGGCGCCUUCGGGCGUGUAGGUUCAAGUCCUAUCACCCGCACCA
rnacentral:tRNA from 2 species